UACAUGGGGUGCAAACGUUGCUCGGAAUUAUUGGGCGUAAAGCGCGCGUAGGCGGUUACUUAUGUCGGAUGUGAAAGCCCUCGGCUUAACUGAGGAAGUGCAUCCGAAACUGGGUAGCUAGAGUACUAAAGAGGGUCGCGGAAUUCCCGGUGUAGAGGUGAAAUUCGUAGAUAUCGGGAGGAACACCGGUGGCGAAGGCGGCGACCUGGGUAGAGACUGACGCUGAGGAGCGAAAGCGUGGGGAGCGAACAGG
rnacentral:rRNA from 1 species